rnacentral:rRNA from 1 species
AGUACUGCCAGACUGGAACCGGGAGAGGUAAGAGGUACUACAGGGGUAGGAGUGAAAUCUUGUAAUCCCUGUGGGACCACCUGUGGCGAAGGCGUCUUACCAGAACGGGUUCGACGGUGAGGGACGAAGCUGGGGGCACGAACCGGAUUAGAUACCCGGGUAGUCCCAGCCGUAAACGAUGCUCGCUAGGUGUCAGGCAUGGCGCGACCGUGUCUGGUGCCGCAGGGAAGCCGUGAAGCGAGCCACCUGGGAAGUACGGCCGCAAGGCUGAAACUUAAAGGAAUUGGCGGGGGAGCACAACAACGGGUGGAGCCCUGCGGUUUAAUUGGACUCAACGCCGGACAACUCACCGGGGGCGACAGCAAUAUGUAGGCCAAGCUGAAGACUUUGCCUGAAUCGCUGAGGAGAGGUGCAUGG